CACAUGCAAGUCGAGGGGCAGCAUCAUCAAAGCUUGCUUUGAUGGAUGGCGACCGGCGCACGGGUGAGUAACACGUAUCCAACCUGCCGACAACACUGGGAUAGCCUUUCGAAAGAAAGAUUAAUACCGGAUGGCAUAGUUUUCCCGCAUGGGAUGAUUAUUAAAGAAUUUCGGUUGUCGAUGGGGAUGCGUUCCAUUAGGCAGUUGGCGGGGUAACGGCCCACCAAACCAACGAUGGAUAGGGGUUCUGAGAGGAAGGUCCCCCACAUUGGAACUGAGACACGGUCCAAACUCCUACGGGAGGCAGCAGUGAGGAAUAUUGGUCAAUGGACGAGAGUCUGAACCAGCCAAGUAGCGUGAAGGAUGACUGCCCUAUGGGUUGUAAACUUCUUUUAUACGGGAAUAAAGUUAGCCACGUGUGGCUUUUUGUAUGUACCGUAUGAAUAAGGAUCGGCUAACUCCGUGCCAGCAGCCGCGGUAAUACGGAGGAUCCGAGCGUUAUCCGGAUUUAUUGGGUUUAAAGGGAGCGUAGGCGGGUUGUUAAGUCAGUUGUGAAAGUUUGCGGCUCAACCGUAAAAUUGCAGUUGAUACUGGCGACCUUGAGUGCAACAGAGGUAGGCGGAAUUCGUGGUGUAGCG
rnacentral:rRNA from 1 species